rnacentral:rRNA from 1 species
GAUGAACGCUGGCGGCGUGCCUAAUACAUGCAAGUCGAGCGAACAGACGAGGAUCUUGCUCCUCUGACGUUAGCGGCGGACGGGUGAGUAACACGUGGAUAACCUACCUAUAAGACUGGGAUAACUUCGAGAAACCGGAGCUAAUACCGGAUAAUAUAUUGAACCGCAUGGUUCAAUAGUGAAAGACGGUUUUGCUGUCACUUAUAGAUGUAUCCGCGCCGCAUUAGCUAGUUGGUAAGGUAACGGCUUACCAAGGCGACGAUGCGUAGCCGACCUGAGAGGGUGAUCGGCCACACUGGAACUGAGACACGGUCCAGACUCCUACGGGAGGCAGCAGUAGGGAAUCUUCCGCAAUGGGCGAAAGCCUGACGGAGCAACGCCGCGUGAGUGAUGAAGGUCUUCGGAUCGUAAAACUCUGUUAUUAGGGAAGAACAAAUGUGUAAGUAACUAUGCACGUCUUGACGGUACCUACACAGAAAGCCACGGCUAACUACGUG